rnacentral:rRNA from 1 species
CAACCUGCCAUCACUUGGGGAUAACCUUGCGAAAGUAAGACUAAUACCCAAUGACGUCUCUAGAAGACAUCUGAAGGAGAUUAAAGAUUUAUCGAUGAUGGAUGGGGAUGCGUCUGAUUAGCUUGUUGGCGGGGUAACGGCCCACCAAGGCAACGAUCAGUAGGGGUUCUGAGAGGAAGGUCCCCCACAUUGGAACUGAGACACGGUCCAGACUCCUACGGGAGGCAGCAGUGAGGAAUAUUGGUCAAUGGGCGAGAGCCUGAACCAGCCAAGUAGCGUGCAGGAAGACGGCCCUAUGGGUUGUAAACUGCUUUUAUAAGGGAAUAAAGUGAGUCUCGUGAGACUUUUUGUAUGUACCUUAUGAAUAAGGACCGGCUAAUUCCGUGCCAGCAGCCGCGGUAAUACGGAAGGUCCGGGCGUUAUCCGGAUUUAUUGGGUUUAAAGGGAGCGUAGGCCGGAGAUUAAGCGUGUUGUGAAAUGUAGACGCUCAACGUCUGCACUGCAGCGCGAACUGGUUUCCUUGAGUACGCACAAAGUGGGCGGAAUUCGUGGUGUAGCGGUGAAAUGCUUAGAUAUCACGAAGAACUCCGAUUG